ACAAAUAAAUCCAUCCCCUUCUCCCUUCUUCAACCUUUCCUAUGUUUUAGGGCACAGUUCAAUCAAUCCCAUUUUCCUCCCAAAUCGAGCAAGUGAACUAGCUGAUCGAGCUCACAAACUGCCAAUUAGUGACAAGUAAGACGCCAUUUCAUAGAUUAGUGGAGGUCCGGUAGUGAUUUGCGGAGUCUACAGGCGUGAGGAAGACGGGCUUGCCUUUGUCAGGAGAGAUUCGCAGAAUUAUUGAGGUCUGUCGCCAAAAGAAAAAGAUUCUCGACUGAGGGCUUUGUCGAGGGCCCCAUCUCCAUAGCGAAGCUCAUCUUUGUCUUUAAGAUCGGGUCGACCUUUGCCUCCAAGACUCAUUGCAAGUCAAGAGGUUCUGCUUAGACAAGUGCAUCCACCAUGGCUCCUAAGGGUGAGAAUAUCAUCGAGUGGAUUGAUCAGAUAUAGUUGGCUUUGAUUCAUAUCAUGCUUGACAAGUUGAAAAGGAGCCAGACCACUUCUUGAAAACAAAGGGAUUGUGAUGAAAUGACGGUGGAGAUGAAAAAAUAAUUUCCCGACGAGCAACUGUGCUCCCAGAAGAUAAAGGACAAGGCGACGAGACUGAAGACCAUGUACAAGCAAUUCAUUGAACUGCUUAACCAUACUGGAGUCGGAUGGGAUGAAGACACUAACACUAUCAAGACAAGUCCCGAUAUAUGAGAUAUGUUUAUCAAGAAGACCAAGGCCUUCAAUACAUUCCAAACUAGAAGCUGCAAGCACUAAUACCUGCUGAAUGAGCUUUUCAGUACGUCGACUGCUACCGGUGCUCUCCGCAUCUCCUCGACCGAUCGGCCAAGGACUUUAAAGGAGGAACGACAGGUGCUUGAGGAAUUCCUGUCAACAUCCAAGAAAAAAUAGAAAUAACCUAUCAAUCUCGAAGAAGGCUCCGACGAGAAUGACGACUCCGUCUAGGUUCAAGAGCCUAUUAUAUCUUAGUCCAAACACCAAGUGCGCAAAAGGCCUUCAUCGACAAGGUUACAACUGCAGGAGCGCAUGAACUUGUUCAAGGCCAGUUUCAAACACAAGCCAAAGAGCACCCUACCGUCGUCAACGAGAAGCAAGUUCGUUUUAAGCCCUAAUAAGCCUGAGAGGAAUAACAUCAAGGAAGCCAUGGUAGAGUUUGGAUAAAUUGAAACCAACCACUUAAACCAUAUAUAGCAGGCAGCUUAGCUCUCCUUGAUGACAAAAUGAGGAGGCUUUUCAUGUACUACGCGAAAGACGCACGAAGGGAAUAGAUACAACAUCUUUUUGACUCUUGAAUGAGCUCAGGAUCCGGCUUUAUGUUUAGUUGAACUUUUCGAUAAUCUCAUUACAUUGCUUGUAAUGCUAUGUUUGUUAUGUUUGUUUGGAUAUCUUGACUUGAUUCUGUUUUAUGUGUGCUUGGAAUUUUUUAUUUUGUAUGGUUAUGAAUUAUUGUGUUUUACCGUUAA